GCAUCGAUGAAGAACGCAGCGAAAUGCGAUACGUAAUAUGAAUUGCAGAUAUUCGUGAAUCAUCGAAUCUUUGAACGCACAUUGCGCCCUCUGGUAUUCCGGAGGGCAUGCCUGUUUGAGCGUCGUUUCUCCCUCAAACCCCUAGGGUUUGGUGUUGAGCAAUACGACUUGGGUUUGCUUGAAAGAUGAUAGUGGUAUAAGGCGGAGAUGCUUGACAAUGGCUUAGGUGUAACCAAAAACAUUGCUAAGGCGGUCUCUGGCGUCGCCCAUUUUAUUCUUCAAACUUUGACCUCAAAUCAGGUAGGACUACCCGCUGAACUUAAGCAUAUCAAUAAGCGGAGGA
rnacentral:rRNA from 1 species